rnacentral:tRNA from 1 species
UCCCUCGUAGCUCAGUCGGUAAAGAAUCUGCCUGCAAUGCAGGAGACCUGGGUUCGAUUCCUGGGUCGGGAA